rnacentral:rRNA from 1 species
GACAGAGGAUGCAAGCGUUAUCCGGAAUGAUUGGGCGUAAAGCGUCUGUAGGUGGCUUUUUAAGUCCGCCGUCAAAUCCCAGGGCUCAACCCUCGGAUGCCGGUGGAUACUGUCGGGCUCGAGUACGGAAGAGGCGAGUGGAAUUCCUGGUGUAGCGGGUGAAAUGCGCAGAUAUCAGGAGGAACACCAAUUGCGAAGGCAGCUCGCUGGGACGUUACUGACGCUGAGACGCGAAAGCGUGGGGAGCAAACAGG